rnacentral:misc_RNA from 1 species
UCCGGCUUAACACCGGCAGUCUCCCCAGAGUGCCCAACUUAAUGAUGGCAACUAAGGAUAAGGGUUGCGCUCGUUGCCGGACUUAACCGAACAUUUCACAACACGAGCUGACGACAGCCAUGCAGCACCUAUCUCCCUGUCCCCGAAGGGAAGCAUACAUCUCUGUAUGUGUCAGGGGAUGUUAAACCCAGGUAAGGUUCUGCGCGUUGCUUCGAAUUAAACCACAUACUCCACCGCUUGUGCGGGCCCCCGUCAAUUCCUUUGAGUUUUAGCCUUGCGACCGUACUCCCCAGGCGGGAUACUUAAUGCGUGAACUGCGGCAGUCAAAGGGUUAACACUUCGACCGCCUAGUAUCCAUCGUUUACGGCGUGGACUAC